GAACAAGUUCUUCCCAACCGAAUCCUCAAGUUCUUUUCUCAGGCGGGAUAAGCCUUCCAAAACGCCCAGAUCUCAUCCCGUUUGGAAUGGAGUCCCAUCGUCCAUGGAUUAAGCUCAGGAAUUCAACUCCUUCCGCAUCCAAAGAACAACCAUCCGAGAUCUUCUCAAAAGCCUACAGCCGCAUCCCAAAGCCGCUUCAUCCAAACAUCCCCUGUUUCACGUGUCUUCAUCCCCAACUCUUCCGGAUCACUCCCAAAC
rnacentral:lncRNA from 1 species